AUUGAACGCUGGCGGCAGGCCUAACACAUGCAAGUCGAGCGGAUGAAGGGAGCUUGCUCCUGGAUUCAGCGGCGGACGGGUGAGUAAUGCCUAGGAAUCUGCCUGGUCGUGGGGGCUAACGUCCGGAAACGGGAGCUAAUACCGCAUACGUCCUGAUGGUGAAAGUGGGGGAUCUUCGGACCUCACGCUAUCAGAUGAGCCUAGGUCGGAUUAGCUAGUUGGUGGGGUAAAGGCCUACCAAGGCGACGAUCCGUAACUGGUCUGAGAGGAUGAUCAGUCACACUGGAACUGAGACACGGUCCAGACUCCUACGGGAGGCAGCAGUAGGGAAUAUUGGACAAUGGGCGAAAGCCUGAUCCAGCCAUGCCGCGUGUGUGAAGAAGGUCUUCGGAUUGUAAAGCACUUUAAGUUGGGAGGAAGGGCAGUAAGUGAAUACCUUGCUGUUUUGACGUUACCAACAGAAUAAGCACCGGCUAACUUCGUG
rnacentral:rRNA from 1 species